rnacentral:lncRNA from 1 species
UUUAGCUCUAUAACACUGAUGACUGAUCUCUCUUAUUUUGAGUCUUUUUGUAAUAAUUCUUUUUAUUUAUUUAUUUGACUAUAAAAACUAUAACAUGACUAAUUUGCCCUUUCUAAACUUAACGUUAACCUCUGCCAAUGGAGGAUCCGCCGGCUUCGGUGGCGUAAUGGUGUCUGACCGCACCGCUACCGCCGUCUUCCAAUUUUGAGGAUUUUUUGAGAUCGUUGUCGUCUACAAAGAAGAUAUCGCACAGGUAUGCAAACUUCGACUCCUUUGAGUUACGUACUUCGGUUAAUUUGGUACAUCAUUGAUCUACCAUUACUGUUGUGUUAUUAAUGUUUGAGAUUCUAACAGCAACUUUGUCAAGACACCUUUGGGCAUUUUUUAAAUAGAUGCUCCUUAAGACAUUUGAAGAGUUUUACCACUUUGAAUAUAUAUUCAAAUGUGAAAGAACCUUUCCUCAAAUCUCUAUUCUUUCCUAAUGUUCAUAUCAAUUUUAUUGUAGCGGAGUUUUUUUUCAGAAAAAUGCCUAAUUAAUUAAACAGUAAAAAAUUAUAAUAAAAUAAAAUUAAAUAAAUAAAAAGAAUUGUUACAAAAAGACUUCAAAUAAGCGAGGUAAACCUGAGAAAGAUGCCUGAGAGGAGGUCCCCGAAAUUAUCUCUUCUAUUUAAGUUUCGAAAACAUUUUAAAUACUGGGAGAACCAAAUUUGUGAAUGAGUUGUGAAUUUAUGCGUUUUGAGAUUACUACUCUAUGUUUUCCUAUUUCAUAGAGUUGUAUUAAGUUGAUGUUAAUUGCAUAUUAACUUCGAAUGUGACUCGCGAUGAAGUUGACAGCAAGGUGAGUCGCUAUGUAUAUGCCACGGUAUGUUUUUGUUAACUAUUGUUCUAAAUGCUUUGUUCAGAAAUAUUGAAUGUUUCCCAUUCUCUAGAGGGGUGGUAUAUACUAAGUGUUUCCCCAGUUUUGUAGGAGGAUGAUAUUUUCAGUUCAAGUAGGCUGGUUUUUAUUGCUCUCAGGUGUAGAGCUUUCCUUUUACUAGUUUGGACAGUAUAGAUUUUCCCUUUUGAAGAAGGUGGUAUAUGUGAUGUUAAGUUUCAUCAUGGGCACUACUAUAAUGCAUUGUUCAAAAAUCUAUCGAAAGCUCUUGAGGAGCAUCAGAGUGUUCAGAAAACAGGAUAGCGAUGAUGCAAAUCCCAUUCCUUUUGAUUCAGUCUCUCAAGGAUAACAACACCUCCAUUCUUUUUGUAACUGUCACACCUCCUUUUGGCUCUUUGCACAAUUAACCACUUUUAAUUAAACAAACACAUCAAACCUAAUUUGCAACUUUAAUCUCUUCAUUUGUUUCAACCUAAAAUUAAACUAAUUAACUUAUUUGCAUUAACAAAUUGAUUAACUAAUUGAAACUACAAAUGUGAAAAGAAAGAAGAAUGGCUAAAUGUAUUUUUUAGGACUUUUACUUUAUGAAUGCAACUAACAUGCGACUAGAUGCUAAUGAUGCCACAAAGUAUGAAAUGUUAAUAAGACUAAAUAUUUUUGACCCCUCCCUUUUAUAAUUUUUACGUAUUUCUAAACGCAUGUAAAAUGCAAAAUAAAUGCCAAGCAAAAUCACUUAAAAAUAGAGAAAAUUUUCUAAAAUUUUAUAAAGCAAUUAAGAUUAUUUUUGGUUUGUUUUAGGAGUAAAUUAUACAUGGGGCAAAAUUAUGUGCUCACAGCUGACCCUCUUUGCUCGAGAACAUGAAGAGUUUUCGGGCAAAGAUAAAGUGAGCAAUCAUGAAUAAUUUUUGCCCGUUUGGUACUCCGUAAGAAGCAUUUUGAAAAAGCUUGACCAAACCUUGCUUCCGAGAUUGCCUACAUAUCCUUGGCUAUAAAGGAAUCAGGUCAGUGUAGUUCUGGAAGUUUUGGCAACUGGGACUACCGAAAAGCUGUAAUUAAAAAUAACUAUAAAUUUUCUACACUAUCAGUACAUUUGAUAGUAUAAAAUCCUUUACACUGUCGAAUGUAUGUAAGUUAAAUUUUUUAUUGGAAGUCUGAAAAAGGAGAAGUUUUGUACUCCUUAAUAUACCUGUAUGUACCUGCAACUAUAAAUCCAAGACAUUCUUUCAAGUCACAUUUUGAGAUGAUGAAAGAGUGCAUGAAGUCCAUUCCAGAGAAUACUUUUGGACUUACCUACUAAAUAAUGUGAAAUGUGAAGAGUUCAAUAAUAGCAGAUUUCUCUCUCUCUUCUCUCUUCUGCUGAUUUGCAAAUUGAUGUAGGUUUUCCUUUCUCUGGUUUUAAGUUAUAUACGGUCACUUUCAAGUUUUCUGAGUAAAGUUCUUUCCAGUGAUAUUAGUGAUGAGUUGCUAGCAGUUGAAUAAUAGAGUGGGUGUCUCUGGUCCCUUUCUCCCAAGUAUUAUGGAGUAAGAUUUCCUAAUACCUCUCACAACUAGUUCUUGAAGAUUGACCAAACCAACAUUGUCAACAUUUUUCCACUGAUCAUAAUGAAUUUAUUUAAGUGUCUGUAGACUCUAGAGUUUUCCGCUCUCAAAAAUAAUAGCUUGCAAAAUAUAUAUUUUAUUAAUGUAUAAUAUACAUAUAAUAUACAUCUUUUAUACAUAUAUUUUGCAUAUUUGGCUAGCAAAUGUAAUUAUUAUUGGCCGACCAGCCAAAUGUGUAACUUGCACUAAAUUUAAUGUCUUAAGUUAAUGAAGUUAGUUAUCUUGAAGCAUACUGAACUGUAGUCUUUUGAUUCUGCCAAUGGAGGGGGGUAGUUCAGUCAUGUUAGUACCUGAUCUAAGAACUUGGAGAUGGACCAAAUUGCCUAUGGCAUCAGGUGGGAAUAUAGUAUGUUGGAACUUUUACAUAAAGCAUUAUCUUAAAAUAUGGAUAGGCAACUUAACAGUUGAACAAUUAAAACCACAGAAGAUCCUUUUUUGAGUACAGUGACCAUUUAUUUAAGCCCAUGACAUCCUAAAAAAUGCAUUAUCUUGAUUUAUCUCUAUAAUAUUCUGCAUUUUCAAGAUCAAAGAAAUCAAAUGACAUUUAACUGUAACACACUGGAAUUUUUAUCCAGAGUAAAACAUGAUGGUUCAUCUUCUUAUUAUUUCCUUCUCAAAUAAUAAAUAUGAAUUAAAACUUCUUUACUAAUUCAAACAAGCAGGACAUUCAACAAUCAUAUUCUUGCAUAAUAUAACAAUUGAAGAAUUCCUUUCAGAAACUCGAACCUUAAAUCUCAUGCUUAUUUAUAGUACUUAGUUAUUACAGCAACAAGCUGUAGGCAAAUUGUUUUUGUUUGUUUUCUGAAAACAGGUGUUCUGUUUUCUUUUCUAAACAUGUCUUGUUUUGGAACAAAGAAAUUAAAACUCUCAAAAUACAAAAUCAACAACAAUCCAAACACAAUUCUCUUCAAACCAAUUCCAAAUACUCACAAAAAGAAAACAAAAAAUAAAAUGCUGAAGGUUGGGCAAUCUCUCAUCGAUGCGAAGGUCUUGAAAUGCUUCUGUGCUUGCAAAAAGAUGCCGCAUCUGCCAUUUAAUUUCUCCUGUUUCACCUUAAUUGUGAGAAACAAUUUAGUAAUUAGUAUUCGAGAAAAGGCAAAAAAAAUAUUACCUAAAAAUGACCAUGACAGUAUCAAGUGACGGAAUAAUUGAUCACAAUAGAAAAUGGUUUGCAUCGUCAGUAUAUAUAACUUAAUUCCAACAGAAAUGUUAUGUUGAUAAAAGGUUACAACAGGUUAAACUACAUUAAUAAUAGAAAAUAAUCUUUAUACCGUCAGUAUAUAUAACUUAAUUCCAUUUGUAUGUACCUCUGCUAUUGUGAAAGAGGUCGAAAUUGAUAAGACAUCAUAUAUGCUUGAAAAGCUUCAUCCUAAACUAGUGACUCUGUAAUGUUCACCAAACUCUUGAUCGAUGCCCUUCAACUUCUCCAGGAUAGCGACGUCUUUCAUUCUCUGGGGAAUCUCCUUCAGCUUUGAACAAUCAUGGAUACCAAAACCUUUAAUGCGAGGCAUGGAACUUGUGGAUAAAUGCCAUCUUUCUAGCUUCUGAAGACCAUCAAGACGAAGAAAUUCUAGUUGAUAAAAGCUGUUAUUACUGCAGGUAAUUUCUUUUCCUUCAUAAGCUCCUACUAAAUCAAGAUCCCUUAGAUUUGGCAACAUUCCCAAAAUAGGCAUUGGAUCCUCCAUUAGUUCUGACUUCCAAAGGACCAUCAUUGUGAUGGAAUUUGGAAAAUAGCCCAAGAGAGGAAAUUUUUCUAUUCUCCCCUCUAACCACAAUUUGUCGAGCUUUUGACUAGAAUGAAGAUAUUCAAGGGUUGGGAAUGAUUCAUCAACUUUACAACGCAACAUGAGAGAGCUAAGGUUUUUCAAGCUGCCAAUGUUAUUUAGGGAGUAAGUAUUCACAAUAUCAUACAUGCCUAAUUCUUGAAGAUUGACUAAAUCAACGGGAUCAACAUCUCUCCACUGAUCACAACAACUGUAUUUAAGAACUUGAAGACUUGUGAGUUUGCUAAGUUGCAGAGGUCUUGAAUACAACGCAACUAUAUGUCUUAGAUUUAUUAGGUUAGCUGUUUCCGGGGGUAGUUGGCAUAAGUGUCUAUAGUCAUUCAAGACACGAAGUGUCUGUAAAUUUAUGAGCCGGCCGAUGGAGGAGGGAAGAUCACGGAUACCUCUCAAGCUUNNNNNNNNNNNNNNNNNNNNNNNNNNNNNNNNNNNNNNNNNNNNNNNNNNNNNNNNNNNNNNNNNNNNNNNNNNNNNNNNNNNNNNNNNNNNNNNNNNNNNNNNNNNNNNNNNNNNNNNNNNNNNNNNNNNNNNNNNNNNNNNNNNNNNNNNNNNNNNNNNNNNNNNNNNNNNNNNNNNNNNNNNNNNNNNNNNNNNNNNNNNNNNNNNNNNNNNNNNNNNNNNNNNNNNNNNNNNNNNNNNNNNNNNNNNNNNNNNNNNNNNNNNNNNNNNNNNNNNNNNNNNNNNNNNNNNNNNNNNNNNNNNNNNNNNNNNNNNNNNNNNNNNNNNNNNNNNNNNNNNNNNNNNNNNNNNNNNNNNNNNNNNNNNNNNNNNNNNNNNNNNNNNNNNNNNNGCCCCCUUUUAUGCGAAAGUAGCCCGCUUAAUACAACAAUUGCAAGAGGUAAGCCUCCACACUUGUCCACCAUAUCUCUAGCUAACCUUCCCAUUGCUGGGACCAUUGCCUGAACAUCAAGUAGUUUCCUGCAAAAGAGGUCCCAACUCUCUUCUUCUCUAAGGAAGCGAAGUUUAUAGACAAAACCUUUAUCAUCUGCUCUUUUAGCAACAUCCUCUUUGCGUGUGGUAAUAAUAACUUUGCUGCCAUUCUUGCUAUCUGGGAAGGCUCUUUUUAAACUUUCCCAUGCCUCUUUCUGCCAUACAUCAUCAACCACCAGAAGGUAUUUGCAUUCUUGCAAUAGGCCUCGAAGGUGAAUUUCUAGAUCCGCCUCUGUCAUCUUUUCCAACAAAUCCAGACUUUCCUUUGUACGACCUUGGAUAGAUUUUAUGAUAUUCCUAAGGAGAUCCAUGGUGUUGUACUCUUGAGAAACACAUAUCCAAGUGCGUGUUUGGAAGCUAGAGACUACAGUUGGAGAGUUGUAGAGGUUUCUUGCAAGAGUGGUCUUGCCUAACCCGCCCAUACCAUAAAUGGAGAUGACACUUCGGCGAGGCUCUGCUUUGAGAAGUUCAGCUAGCAAGCUUUCUACAACAUCCCGAAAGCCAACAAAAAUAUGAUCGUCAUCUAUAUAGGAGGUAGUUCUCCUCAAUGUUCUAACCAUGGCGGACUGAUUACUUGUCCCUUCUCCUGCAUUAUUGAUGUCUCUAAUACCAUAUGUCUCCCGUUUGCGAGAGAUAUCCAUGACUCGCUUCUUGAGGGAUUGGAUCUCCUUGCUGAUGUUGUAGAAUUUGGUCUCCUUCCUACAUAUGCAAGCGCAAGCCUUAAGACGACUAGCAAAUCCAUGGUCAUCAGAUUCUUCUGCCAUGGAGAUGUAAGUCUCCAGUAUAGCGACAGCGUCAUUAGCAAUAGAGUUGAUUUCAAAUACCCAUUGUUGAACUCUUUUAUCUUCAUUUUGCUUUUGUUCUGCAUCUUUGAGGAAAGAUUGCAUGAAUAGCAGCUCAUUUCUCAGCCACCGCACAUCCUGUCUCAGACUUAUGCGCAAUGCAACUUCUUGUAUGAGAAAGUCGCCCAGUUUUUCAACUGCAAAUGACACAAAUGCGUCAACCAUCUUCAGGAGUCUUGGUUUUCUCUUUAAUCAGAGCUUGAAAAAGAGGGCUGUAUAGAAGAUAUUGGAAGAAAGCUAUAGAAAGAGAGAUACAAGAUACUGGAAGAGAUUAAGCUGGUUUUCAAUUGAUAUUGUAUUGAAGCUAUUUGAAGAAAGCUGGAGAAUGAUAUAUAUAUAUAUAUAUAUAUAGACAGAAGCAGUAAAGAGAAUAAAUUAACAACAAAAAGAAGGAAAGUUUAUUGUAAGUUUGGUUGCAUAAUCUAGGCAAGAACAAAUACGCGGUGGCCUUUAUUAUUGAGUAGAAGUAUCUUCUUGUCCUAACCAAUCAAAUUUGUUACAAGUUUCUACACCAGUAGGUACUAAAGGUUUGAAUUAGUAAAAGUCUCUGUUUUCAUCUUGAUCAUUACGUAUUAAGUUAAUAUUUGGUGGAGUGCAUCACUAUGUAUUUUGCAUUUUUUUAAGUAUAUUUCGUACCUUUAGUGAAGUAUACCUUCCAUCUUAUAUACUACUAUUAACAACUCUUUACUUGAUACAAGUUGAUUCUUUCUCAACUUCAUCCAACAAAUUAUCAGAAUUUUUAUGAUAUCGCUGGAGCAAGUGGUAAUAGAUAGGAGGCCUUCACAAGUAGGAGUAAGCUCUGGGUACACUCUACCCUCACAAGUAGGAAUAAGGUCCGGGAUUACAAUAGGUUUGUUGUUGUUGUUGUAAGUGGUAAUAGGAGGAGUAACGUGUUUUGGAAACAACAAAAAAAUAUUGUGUUUUAGAAACAACCUUUAUAUGUAUGUCAACACCAAUGGAUGAAAAUGAAAGAAAAAUUAGAGCAACGAAAUUGAACUGCGCCUCAUUAGACAAGGCAAGAGAAUUUCAAAGUUCCUAUUUUCUAAAGGCAUAUUUAUUCUCAAAAGGUAAAGAUAAAGAUAGCAUAACGAUUUUCAAAAGGCAAUGACAAAUACGGCAUAAGGGGGUUUGGAAAAAUGACAUUGUAUAGUCGCUGUAAAAAUAAUAGCCGAAAGAAUGUAUAAAAUUUGUAUAUCUUUUGUAUACAUAUAUAUAUACACAUUUUGUAUGUUAUAUACAAAAACUAUACAAGUUUUAUACACUUUUUUUGCUACAAAAUGUAAAUAGUUUUUGGCCCGGACUAAAGGUGAUAAUACCCUAAGGAUUUUCAAGUUCAGCCCUAUUUUAGCUAACCAAAGACAGCUUUUAUCAUAUUAAUUUCUGUAAUAAUCAACCCUAAAAGGAGAUGAAAUUCCACAAAGUCUACUGUUCAGAGUAACUCUUGUUGGGAUACAUAACUACUCCUAUGAGUUUAGAUAUAGUAUUCGUUAUGAAAUAAUUUUUAUUCAAAUUUAAUAAAGUUUCUUUGCAUUGAAUAGAUCAUAAUUUUGUAUGUGUCCGUAUAUAAAUAUGAUUUGAUGUAUAAAUUUUAGCUUAUACACAUAAGAUCAAAUCAUAAAGUUUAUAUUCAUAAUUUAAGAUGGAGAUUGGACACGCCAUCAGUAUGAUUAUUACACAAGAUUAUAUAUAAUUUAUCUUUGAUUAUGAAAAUAAUAUAAUUUCAACUUCUUGUACUAGUACAUUGUGAACGUAUUGAUUAUGACCAAGUAGAAACAUAUCUCUAGUUUAUGCUCACUCCGUAGAAAAAAAACCAGAGCCCUGAAGAAAAAGAAGAAUCUCUCUUCUUGGUUUAUCUCAACUCCCCCUUUUAUUUGGAUUAUAUUUUAUUUUUUCACAUGUUUCUUAUAGUAGCUUUUGUUGUGUAUUUUUCCUAUCGUGAUCCUUUUUUUUUUUUGCUUAUUAGAUACUCCCUCCAUUUUAAUUUAUGUGAAUUUAUUUGAUUAGACACGAAAUUUAAGAAAUAAAUUUAAAAAUUGUGUGCUAAACAAACUAGUAUAACAUUUGUGUGGCUGUAACUCUUAUGAAACUUGUAGUGUUAAAUAUGUCAGAUUAUUAGUGUAGCUAUAAAAGCUUCUCAUUGAGAGUAAGAUUAGAAGUUUAAGUUAAAUUAUCUACAAAUUUCGAAAAAUAUCAUAUCUUUUUUGGAACAGAUUUUAGUUAGAUAAUAAUCCAGCCGUAAAGUGUAGCGUCUAAUAGAAAUAUAUUCUUGUUCUAAUCAAUCAAAUUUGUUACAAGUUUCUACACCAAUUGAUAUUGUUAUAGACUUUUCCCUUUCCAUGGAAAAUUUAAAUUAAUAAAUUUCUAUGUUUUCUUCUUGAUCAUUACGUAUUAAGUUAGUAUUUGGUGGGGUGCAUAACUCUGUAUUUUUCAAGAUUACGUUAUCACACAAUUUUUCAUUUUUGUAGUGUAUUUCAUAACUUUAGAAAAGUAUACCUUCCAUUAUUACUUACAUCAUAAGUAACGACAAAGACUAAUAAGUUUAUCAUAUUUCUGUAUCAUUUGAGGAUGAAAUUUCACAAAGUCAAUAAAUCGAAUAUUCCGAGUUACUUCUGUGAAACAACCCAAGCAGAUUCUUGUUUCUUCUAAACAUUUUGGUUACAUAGUUAAGGUGUAAUUCUAAUUCAUCAUUUUGUUUGGUUUGCGUAUGUAUAUGCUCAUUUGUCGAACGAUAUAAAUGUAAGGGUUACAUAGGUUUGGUUUGAUUUGGUUUGGUAUUGAGAGAAAAAAUCCGAACCAAACCGACAUAUAAAUAUAUAGUUUUUAUAUAUACUUUUAAGACUUUUUUAGAAUUUUCUUUAAAAAAUGUCUAGAAAUAUUUGCGAUUCUUUUAUGGGAUGUAAUCUUGAGUUAAAUAUGAAGUGCUCUAUUUUUAUUAACUUUAAAUAAUGAGUUGUAUGAUCACUUUCUUAUCAAGUGUUACUGAAAUGCAUCUGUAUUGGGAAAAUCGAGUUUACAUAUUGAAGUGAUUGGAAGAUGACGUGUCAUGACACGAAGGCUGGUCAAAGAGUGAUGAUUGGCAAAGAGGCAUGAGUUGCAAUAGAUACGAGCAGAAGGUACAAGUAGAGGCACGAGCAAUUAUUCAAAAGACUCAACGCUCGUACCUAUUUAUACUCAAAAAUCAAGGAGAAUGAAUCUGACAACAUAAGAGAGUACAGAUACAAUAUUUAAUAAGCAAUAAAUAUUAAAAACAUUAGAGAAUUUGUAUUAAAUUAUAAUGAUUAUGUAACGUAGUAUUUAAUGCCUUUAAUUGUCUAUAAUGACCUAAUUAUAACAAAGGCAAAACGUAUAUCUUUAAGAUAGCUAUAAAAAGGAGAGAAUAGAUCAUUUGUAAGGACACGAAAGAUCAUCUGAAUAUACUGGUUUACUUUGUUUUCUUCUGUCUAUCUUAUUGUUAGCAAAAUCACUUUCUUUAUUCAGUUUUGAUUAUCAGUAACCCGUGUUCUUCUAAAUUAAAGUUUUGACUGAAAUUCCACUUUUUUGGUUAAACAAAUUGGUUCCGUUACCGGGAAUCUGAUAAUUUACUCUUUCUUAGCCUAACCUUUUUGUUGCAUCAACUAUGUCGAACAUCAAUGACAACACCCAAGGAAACCAAGGAAACCAACA